rnacentral:rRNA from 1 species
ACGCUGGCGGCGUGCUUAACACAUGCAAGUCGAACGAUGAAGCCUAGCUUGCUAGGUGGAUUAGUGGCGAACGGGUGAGUAAUACGUGAGUAACCUACCUUUAACUCUGGGAUAAGCCUGGGAAACUGGGUCUAAUACCGGAUACGACCAAUCUCCGCAUGGGGUGUUGGUGGAAAGCGUUAUGUAGUGGUUAUAGAUGGGCUCACGGCCUAUCAGCUUGUUGGUGAGGUAACGGCUCACCAAGGCGACGACGGGUAGCCGGCCUGAGAGGGUGCCCGGCCACACUGGGACUGAGACACGGCCCAGACUCCUACGGGAGGCAGCAGUGGGGAAUAUUGCACAAUGGGCGCAAGCCUGAUGCAGCGACGCCGCGUGAGGGAUGACGGCCUUCGGGUUGUAAACCUCUGUUAGCAGGGAAGAAGAGAAAUUGACGGUACCUGCAGAGAAAGCGCCGGCUAACUACGUGCCAGCAGCCGCGGUAAUACGUAGGGCGCGAGCGUUGUCCGGAAUUAUUGGGCGUAAAGAGCUUGUAGGCGGUUUGUCGCGUCUGCUGUGAAAGGCCGGGGCUUAACCCCGUGUAUUGCAGUGGGUACGGGCAGACUAGAGUGCAGUAGGGGAGACUGGAAUUCCUGGUGUAGCGGUGGAAUGCGCAGAUAUCAGGAGGAACACCGAUGGCGAAGGCAGGUCUCUGGGCUGUAACUGACGCUGAGAAGCGAAAGCAUGGGGAGCGAACAGGAUUAGAUACCCUGGUAGUCCAUGCCGUAAACGUUGGGCACUAGGUGUGGGGGACAUUCCACGUUUUCCGCGCCGUAGCUAACGCAUUAAGUGCCCCGCCUGGGGAGUACGGCCGCAAGGCUAAAACUCAAAGAAAUUGACGGGGGCCCGCACAAGCGGCGGAGCAUGCGGAUUAAUUCGAUGCA